GCUUGAGUGAUGACUUUAAUCUUUUGUCGGAUACCCCUUCACUCCCAAUGAGUGACAUUUGUGCUCUGACAAGC